rnacentral:tRNA from 2 species
GGGCCUGUAGCUCAGUUGGUUAGAGCGCCGCGUUUACACCGCGGAGGUCGCCGGUUCGAGACCGGCCGGGCCCA